rnacentral:rRNA from 1 species
CCCUACGGGGGGCAGCAGUAAGGAAUAUUGGUCAAUGGACGCAAGUCUGAACCAGCCAUGCCGCGUGGAGGAUGAAGGCCCUCUGGGUUGUAAACUUCUUUUAUCUGGGACGAAAAAGGGACUUUCUAGUUCAACUGACGGUACCAGAGGAAUAAGCACCGGCUAACUCCGUGCCAGCAGCCGCGGUAAUACGGAGGGUGCAAGCGUUAUCCGGAUUCACUGGGUUUAAAGGGUGCGUAGGUGGGUUGGUAAGUCAGUGGUGAAAUCUCCAGGCUUAACUUGGAAACUGCCAUUGAUACUAUUAAUCUUGAAUACCGUGGAGGUCAGCGGAAUAUGUCAUGUAGCGGUGAAAUGCUUAGAUAUGACAUAGAACACCAAUUGCGAAGGCAGCUGGCUACACGAAUAUUGACACUGAUGCACGAAAGCGUGGGUAGCAAACAGGAUUAGAUACCCCGGUA